CCUACGGGAGGCAGCAGUGGGGAAUAUUGCACAAUGGGGGAAACCCUGAUGCAGCGACGCCGCGUGAGUGAAGAAGUAUUUCGGUAUGUAAAGCUCUAUCAGCAGGGAAGAAGCAAGACGGUACCUGACUAAGAAGCCCCGGCUAACUACGUGCCAGCAGCCACGGUAAGACGUAGGGGGCAAGCGUUAUCCGGAUUUACUGGGGGUAAAGGGAGCGUAGACGGUAUGGCAAGUCUGAAGUGAAAGCCCAGGGCUUAACCCUGGGACUGCUUUGGAAACUGUUAGACUAGAGUGAUGGAGAGGUAAGUGGAAUGCCUAGUGUAGCGGUGAAAUGCGUAGAUAUUAGGAGGAACACCAGUGGCGAAGGCGGCUUACUGGACAGUAACUGACGUUGAGGCUCGAAAGCGUGGGGAGCAAACAGGAUUAGAUACCCCUGUAGUC
rnacentral:rRNA from 1 species